UAUAUAUAUAAAAAUAUAUAUAAAUAUAUAUAAACCAUAGUCCAUGGUUUUAUAACCAUAUGAAACAUCACAUCCAUACCAUAAAGAGUGGCAGGCUCCUAUUUCUGUCUUUAGUCUCCAAACUGAAUUUGCAGCCCAGGUCCAGAGGACAUGUAAAACUACAUCUGUGUCAUUCCCUCUCCGACAGGAGAUUGCUGUUGCCUGUAAGAUUGGAGGGCUACAGGUGCAUUUCCUUCAUCACAGGUUUGUACUGCUACUUCUCUUGAUUUUGCCAGAAUUUUCUACACCACUGCAAGUAACUUUAUCAAACAGAAGUGAAAUCUCACUAGAAUGUGGGAUCAGGCUUGUUUUUCCAUUGCACUCCAAUCUUUUUAGUCAUAAACUCCUGGCCUAGUUUGCCAUAAUUCUGCCUGAAACUGAUGUCAGCUAUAGUUAAAUGAAUUACCUCAAUUUUUGCUUUAGUGAAAAAUAAAACACUGACAUGCGUCAGAAAUUUUUAGAAGCAUGAAAAUUUCUCAACAGCUAACACAUCAUCCAUCACUUUUGGCAUUCUUUGGUAUGAAUUGUCUUGAUCUACUCAUCCAUUUCUCUCCAAUUAAAAUUCUAUGAUAUGCUUCCUACUUGGUUGCAAAUUAACUGGAAGUAUUUCAUCAUCAUCAGUCAUGUUGUUCUUGAUUUUCCUCAAAUUAGCUAUUUGAAAACAGAAGUGUGAACACUACUGACUGGGACUUUCUCUGAUUUCCUUUGAUAUGGUCAUGAUUCCUGCUUAUGAAGCAAGGGUAAGUUGUAGAGGGGGAGAUGACCUGUUCAUCUGUAUGUUGUACCCAGGAAAUUAUUACUCUCUGGAUUUGGUACUCAUUAUAUCCACAUUGCUAUAAUAAGGUCGAUAGAUAUCUGUAUUCAGGCUAGAAAGUUGUCAUCUAAGGUUUUGGAAAAGUAGACUUACAUUUCUCUAAUGGCUGCAUGCUAUUCACACACUGAAUUUUGAGAUUCAUUUUACCACAGGCUGACACAUUAGGGCUGACUUCUUGUUUUGGCUUGUCUUGGCACACAGGACCCUGCCCGAGCCCUGUACGUCAGGGUGUUGUUAAACACUCAUGGUUUGAGACUUGUCUGAGCUGGAUCUGUGUGUGUUUUAGAGUGCUAAGAACAACCAGUAUUGGUAAAAGUAAGGAAUAUGGUACUAUAUCAGGUGAUGUUUCUCAGAUGAUAUUCAGCUCUUCAUUUUGCCCCUCAUCUCCCAGUGUCUUUUUCUCAGACUCUGAGCUUCCCUUAUAGACAUUCCCUCAGCUUUUUUCUACUCCAUCAGUUUCAUGCAGUGCUGGGCAUUGCAGAGUGGGGUCAUGGAGCUCACCUCUGCUGGGAGCAGUUGCUGCCCCAGUCCUUGUGAGUGCCUUAACUCUUAGGAAAUGCUGCCCAGCAGCCCAGAGUGACAGGUAGGCUGCAGUGGGCAACCUGGACAUUUAACACCAGGAAUCAAGUGACAUCUGCAACUGGCAAAUGUAAAACAUGUUGGUGUUCAUUCCUCAGCUAUAAAUAAUAAAAAAUUCCUUCAAAAACUGAGUAUAUCCUCUCUGUCAUUGUUCUUUAUUUCCGCUGCAAAUAACUUGCAACAAUAAAAAUGAAGGGAUGCCAGAUUUGUGUGGCACUUCAGUGUAAAUACUUUACUUGCAAUGAAGUUCAGUUGAAAAGCCUGACCCUCCUCCCAACAGUUUUGCAGGGCAGAUGGGUUACUGCUGUCCCUCAGCAUGGAGCCAUCCUUAAGGUGUGAUGCUCCUUUUUUCUCAUGAAUCUGAAAGAAAGGGAUGAAAAACUUUAUGUCUCCCUCCUGUCUUGCAGAAACUUUCCCUGCUCUCUUCUCUGGGUGGAGUCCCUUAAGGCCUUAUACAUAAUGAUCCAUUCACUGUUGCUGGCUAAAAUCCUCCUCUCCAAAGCCGUUCAGUCAUUGCUGAUUUUCCUUACAGUUCUGUCCUCAGGUUCCUCAGACUUUUCUUCCUUUCUCACUAACAAGCAUUCAUUAUUUCUCCCUUAAGCUUCCCAGUAUCCCACGGUGGAUUUUUGCAACUUUUAAUUUCCCAGGAGGGAUAUGAAAGGUCUACAAGUAAAACGCUUUGCUUGCUCUUAUCUGGGAGAUUACAGAAGGGAAUCGGAUAAAAGCGGGGGUUGAAUACUCAAUGCUUUGCCAUUGUCAGCAGCAAUGCACUUUUGGUAGAAAAUGCCAUUAUCCUUAUACAGCAGGGUUUUAAAAACUUUUAAAAGGCAUAAAAAAUUGAGGAAUCAAAUUCUUCAGGCAUUACUCUCUGCUGCCCUGAAGUUCCUCUUCAUUGCACCGGAGGCAGAGGAAGAAAAUAGAGUGACUGGAUCCCUCCAGUUCCAUAAAAUAUUCAACAAAGUCCUUAUUGCAUACCUGUUUCCCCCUCAUUGAGAGUGUGGGAGGGGGAUGUGGAGGACACGACUCCCCAUCAGCAGCAUAAUGAGGUGAACAGGCUGGUUUGGGCUGCUGCUGUUCCAGUGCUGUGUGGCAGGAAGCUGGGAUUCACACUGAUGUCUCAGUUCCUCUGGCCUUUUUAAAAUUGAUAAUUGUGAAUAUCAUCCACACUAAUUAUUUUUGAGAAGUUGCAACGAUCAUCCUUGUAAGAAUGUUGGACUGUGUUCACAAUUAAGGGCUGCCUAGAGGAUAAAGACGGCUUUUUUUUCAACAACACUGAUUGAUCUCUGACAAACCACUUUUUUCCUUUUUUCUCUUGAUGUUCCCUUAUGCUAUGACAUGAAUAAAUUACACAGUGGGAAGUAAAUGAGAAGAUUUCAUACUGAUAACCAUGUCUGUGCUUUAGUUUUCCUUGUUUUACUUCACCAUAUUCCCUGCUCUAAAUGAAUAUGUGCAGUUACACAUCUCUGUUCGCUCACAGUAUAAAAUGGCCCUUCUUUUCCAGAUAAAAUUUUUUAGUCCCAUAAAGCUUCAUUCUUCCUUUUGGAAAGGCAUUGAGAAAUGCAGAAUUAUGCUUAGAAAUCUAGAGAUGAUAGAUGAAAUAAUGUUAAAUAUCUGUCUCAAGUACCUGUGCUUGUACCCGGAGCUAGAAAAGUUAGAACUUAACCUCAGAAUUUCACUGCCUUUUCCCUUUUACAUACUUUCCCACUUUCCUCUAUUAACUAUUAUUGAUUUCAGGUUGCAUUUCAUAAUAACUGUUAUGCCAGGGGCUGAACUGGGUGACUGUGGAAACCAGCUCUAUGCUCUUGCUGGUAAAAAGAAUGUGCUAGUUGCAGGCCAGCUUGCUUGAAUUGCUGUGAUGAUCCUGCACAUCCUCCUCACGAGGCUGUGCUCAGUGAUGGACUGACUCUGUGCCUGGUGGGCUCUUGCUGCCACCACACAGCCACAGCUGAGCUUUGCUGGUUUUUUCCAGUUGGUGAGGGAAGGAGAAGCCAGACCACUUUGGGUGACUCAGAGGAAGGAGGGUAUUGCUAUUUGAGAGACAAGUAUAUUAGUAUAAGGUGUAGUCUGAAGCCUUGUGGCAUUUUUCAUUUUAUUUCUGCUUGUGUUAGGUGGGAAGACUCAGAUAGAUGCCUGUAACACGCAUGCCAAGGACUCUGGUUACCCUGGUCCUGUUUUUAGCCUGACAAUGAACCUGAGCCUGAAAAUGGUCCUGUUACCCCUCUGUGAUGAUGUACAAAGCAUGAUAUAGUGUCUUCAGCAGGGAACGGGGACUAAUGACUACAAAGGCAAUGACAAGCUUUUAUUCACUCAUAUUUGCAAAUGGCUUUGCUUAUUUCUCAAGGAAAAAUUAAUGACAUAAAGCUAAAUACUGUUAAUAGUCAAAACAGGCACUCACCUUUGUAACCCAAUUAAUAAACACAUUUUUUAGUUUAAUUACCAUAUACUGCAUGUUAGAGGCAUAUAGGUCUUACUGAUAGCUUAAUCAGGUUACCCCCUAAACAACCUCCUGUGACCAUAGUUAAUUGCUUAAAAAUUUAAAACUUGCAAAAUCAGCUUUUGGGAUUAAAAGACAAAACUGUCAGUCAUGUCUCUGAGGACUGCCUUUUUUCCUGUAACUGUGGCUUGAAGGAUUUCAAAAGCUUCUUUUCUUACUUAGCUUGAUUAGGUGAACCUAAUGGUCAUUUUGAUUUUUGGUCUUAUUCUUGAUUAUUUCUAAACUUCCAGACACUUCCAGGAAAACAAGUUUCCUUGAAACAAUGUGCCUCAGCAACAGUAUUUUAUCAUAGUAAACCAUAGAAAGCUUGUGGGUUUGAAGCAGAAGUGAUCUUCUUUUCAGUCCUCUUACAGCCAAACAUUACACAUAAAAAAUUGAAUCUGUGGAAUAUCAAUUGUUCCUGUGGGACUGGAAAUUUUAACUAAAGGAAAAACAUGUCUAUAAUACCUGCUCAAUCGUAAUACAGUUCAGUGACCCACUUAUGAUCAGGUUAAUUAUCCUUAUGCUUCCUUAUCUCUUUCAAGGACAAUCUUGUGUGAAAGUCAGCCCUGCACUGGAAGCUGGCAGCUUUUUCACUCCUGGGAGGGGGAACCAGGCUCUAACAAGCACUGCCUGCCAGCUGCAAGCCAGAGGCACAGCAUCCCAUACGGCAUCACCUACAGAAAUUCAUAUCCACACACACGUAUGCAUACAAAUAUGUAUAUAAAUAUAUGUAUGUAUCUCAUAGGAUUCCUUUUGUAAGGCUCCUUCUCUGAGGCUGUGCCUUUUGAUAGAAAUUCAGCUCCUCUCUGUUUGGUUGCAGGCGUUCCAAUCCAUGUCACCAGAGCAGAGUGAUGCUGUGGGUGACAUUGCUGUGUGAGCAUCAUUUUGCUUUCUCCACCCCUCCAGCACGCCUCUGAUGUGAUACACUUGUCAGGCAAGGAAGGUGUAAUGCUCUGGAAGAUCCCUGCAAUCACAAGCCUGAUAUAUAGAGGCAUCCCACUGAGAAACUAAAAUAUCUCUGUUACCUCAUUGCUGGGGAUUGCACUUGCAAUAAUAACUUCAAAAUGAGAAUCAGAAGCAGCCCAGUGAGUGGAUUUCUCCUGACAGCAUGCACUCAGGAAGUGGCAGUGGUAGGGAAAUUCUGCAGAUUUGCACUUUAUUGUGCACCUCUGUCUCACAAGCUCACUAAGAAAGCUCUUCAGUGACAUAGUUUUAAAGACUUUCUCUUGUCUGCAUUAUCACAGAUCUGCUGCUUAUAUCAGUAGGUAUUUGAAAAUCCCAUAAUUUGUCAUAGCUGGCAUUCACCAUACAAUGUUGUAGUAGAGCCAUAAGAAAAUCAGCAUCUGGACUUACUGUCUUCUCCUCUCAUGAGGCAUAUGCUCAUUUUCUAAGGGUCUCUGACAUAGUGUUAGUGGCUUAUGCCCCCAUCAUGCCAGAGGCUAAAGAUUGAUCACCCCUAGUGCAGAGGCUGAACACUGAGAGCUGCAGAGUUUUUCUUAUGCCAGAUGACUUUAUGAGAAGUUGUAGUGAGAUGGCAGCACCUAGGAGAAGACUCAGGCAUUUCACAGUUAUUUUACAGGUAUAUUUUGACAACUGAAGAAGCCCUGGAUAUACUCUGGCUCCCUUCUGCCAUGCAGAGGGACUCUGAGGUGUCAGGGAGAGGGGUCACAACCAUGUAUCCUUUUAGCAUUGAGCUAGGACACAACUGGGGGAGCACAUGGUCCCAUCCUGGGAAGUGCUCAUUCAUCCCACCUCUUAUAUAGAUUGGCCUUAAAAACUUUUGUCUGAGCGAUAUUAUUUACUUCCAUAUUAAUGAUAAAUCAUACCUAGAAUACUGUUCUGAUAUAGGUUACAUUAGAAUGUGUGCAAACACUCUGCCAUUCAUUCAUUGGUCUGGCUAUCAGGCCUGGGUGUAAGCAAAAUGGAAGAGCUUCCACUGUAACUCAGACAAAGCAGCAGCCAAGACUCAUCUGUGUACAGUUUAAUGCUGUGGCAGAAGAUUGUGUUGUAGAUGUAGUUUUAGGAAGGUUAUCUGCAGUCCUAUGAACACUGCUGGCAGUUGGAAACUAAAAUUCAAUUCUGCCCCCAGAAUCUGGGAAGUUCUCAAAGUUUUCAACAUCUGAUUCAUAUUUUGGUUAACCAUCUAUUUUUGGAUAUGUCUCUUUUCUCUUGAAAUUAUGUGGAUCAAAUAUUUUUUUCUCAUUAUUGGGAAUACUCUCUCAUCAAAACUAACUCUUUCAUAAUUUCCUGGUAGCUCUGAGAACUACCAGUGUGGUGGGAAAAGCAAAAGUCAGGAUAGUUAUGAUGUUCUUCAGAGAAUGUGCCCUUCUUAGGCAAGGAGUGCUGUAUGGGUGGUAAGACACUUUUUGCUAUUGUAUGUGGGGUAGUCAUGUCACUCUCAUACUCCCAUGAAAAUAGGGGGGCUCAGCAAGAUCCUCAGAGGACAGCUGCUGUGAAAAUUACCACUGUAUGGAAAUAGAAUCAACUGGACUUUGAGCCCUGCUUCACACUGUCCUGUGUCUGGCACAUUGUGUAAGUACAUGAGAGGCUUUUUGUCCGUCAAGAACUGUAGUCAUUAACCAAGGGAUGGGCAAUUAUGGUAAGCAACAUAGUAAUCUUAAAUUCCAGAGAUGACUGCAUAGGACACUAGAGAAACAGUGGAUUAUUCAGUUGUUGCCUAACAGGAAACAGGCCACUGAGAAAUCAGGUAGCAGUGAACAAACACAAAAAGGAUCCUUUAUGUAAAACCAGCUGUUAUGUUUCAUGCAAACCUAGGCAACAGUGGCCCUCUUACCCAUGUUUUUCAUAGCUGCUCUUGGUUUCAUGUAUUCCACUGACUGCACACAGUGGAAUUUAUGGUUUCCCUUAGGCAUACAUGUCUGCUUUCCAUCACUAGAAACUCUUUGUUUUUAAAAGAAGAGAGCAGAAGCUGUUCUGAUUUUUCCUUUGAAUUAACACGCUUUCAUGAAAACUGCUUUAUAAUAGCCCAGAUAUCAAGUUAGAAGUGGAUGCCUCUGCAAAGUGCUUUUAUAAAGUGCUUAUACCAGUGCAGCUCUCUGCUAGGAAGGCAGACUUCCAAGGAGAACUGUAACACAGGAGGAUCGGAGCAAAAAACGUGAUGCAGAGAAUUUGCAGGGAAGCCCAGGACAUCUUUCAGCUAAUGGGACCCAUACAUGAAAUGUAGUCCAGAAAUGGCUCCAAAGAACUUUCAGCAUCAAUCAACAAGAUAGAUGAAGAGAGAAGCAGAACUACUUGCCCACAUAUGAAGUCAAGAGAUGGAGGAGUUGGUGGUUACGUGCUGCACUGCUUGGUGGAUACACGCCUGGCUAUAGGAGGUUGAAAGGAAAUCAAGGGUGGUGCUGCUAACAUUCCACCCUCAGCUCCCUAUUCACCUCUCAUCAUCCACCCUUGCAUUUCAACUCAAUCGUUUUACCCACCCACCUAGUUCCAUGUGAAAUUGUGCUAAUGGAUGUCUGUCCCACAAUACACAGGGAGACUUGAGCUGUUUUUGUAAUUUGUAUCUUUCUUUUGAAUUUCAAGUGUUUCCAACUUGCAAAAUCCUGGUUUGGGUCAACAUCUGGACUCCAUCCAUGUGUGUGUAAUUCAAGGAUCAUAGCACAUAGAAGUUAGAGGUUGAUCAUCAAAAUUUCGUUGUGGUUCAGGGACAUUAGAUACUGGGAUUUUGCUAUAAUUCUGUGUCUAGCAGGAAGGAAAGGGCUAGAAAGGGAACUGAUAAUGAUUUGAAUGGAGUAGGACCUUGGGCAAUUGUGUUCUGUGUUCCCUGCAAGCUCUGCACAGUCAUUAACACUGACGAAGCAUUAGAGAUGUGUGAUGCCAGUUAGAGGUCAGUCCUUCCAGGAGCACUUGCCAUAUUUUUAUGUCCUCAUCUCCUACCUGUGUCUUGGCAGAACUAGAGCAACACAGUGGAGCACCAGAUUUUACACACUUUGUCUACAUUACCCUCUUCCAAAGGCCUUUCACUUUCUGUUCUCAGUCCAAGCUUCCCUUUUUCUUUGUUUUGUCCUCUCCUUUUACUUUCUCUCCUUUUCCUUCACUCCUUUGGUCUGUCAGAAAUCUCCCACAUUCCAGGAGAGGCCAAAACUGAACUACUAUCAACAGGGCAUCUGGCAGGAAAUAAGUACCAGGUUGUGAACUUUUAUGGUACUUGCAGCAUGGCCUGUUUUUACAAUCAACUGCUGAGAGAAGAUGUUCAAGAGGAUGUGUUCAGCAGCAGAUCAGGGCACAGCAGCCAGGUGGGAUUCCUGGUGCAGAGCUGGCCAAGUCUCCCUGCUGAAGUUUCAUUCUGGGCUAUAGAGGAGUCUUCAAUUACUGACUGAAUGUUUUUUGGUGCCAGGGUCUCAGUUAAAUGUGUAGGAGAGGAGCUAGGCAGAAGUGACAGCAUUGGUAGAUUAUAUUAGUGGUCAGAGCAAGCCUGGCUGCACAUGGGGCAGCAGGCACUGGCCUCCAUUUCUUUCCUCUGUCUACUGUGAACAUUUUACCUUGCUUGCACUGUCAGAGGUUGUCCCAGAUCCUAGGCUGUAGGAUUGUUUUCUCUCUCCUUCUGGUCCAAUAAUUAUUCAACUGGUCUAUGCAAAGUGGAAUUCCUUCAGGCAGAGUUGCCCUUCUGUAUCUGUUUAGAGACUUCACUGAACACAUGCUGUCUUAGGAAUAUUCAGGCUGAGCAAAAGCCCUAAAUUUAAGUGCUGUGCAGAUGGUUCAGGGACCUUAGCUACUGGCAGGGAGUUUAGGACAAGGACAAGAUCCUUGUGGGUUCACUUUGAAAACACUUACCUAUUUGGUUUUUGCCCUAUUACUACAACUCAGGGAGCCAAAGGAUUCUUUAGACACAGCUUGUCUUGGCCUUGCUUUGAUUUAUAUAUAUUUGGAGAAUGUAACUUCUAGAUGUGUUGCAAGUAGCUGGAAGAAGCACUGAGGACUCAAAUGCCUCCAAGCUCAGGGAUGGGGUUUUAAGGAGCAAGACAAUAGACAGGCUCUUUUGUAUUUUCAGUGCAGGGUGAAAGAAAAGUCACAUGCUUCAUCCCUUCACAUUAACAUAGGAAAAUCAUCUCACUGAAGUGCACAUCCUCCUAUUUCUGAGGCAAAGCAGAAGAAUAUGAGACAACAGAAACAAUGGAAACUGCAACAAAUUAAUAAAUUUUAUUCUAACACAAGGCCAAGACUUCAGAAGUGUUUAUUUCAUCCUUAAAUACUUUAGCUUUCAUCCUGAUCAUCUCCUAUUUUUUUUACCUGGCAGAGCCCUGCCGUAUGGAGUAAAACAGAACAGCAAGCUGCACACAUAGAAAUUCAUCAAAUCCUGUCACAUAUCAGCCCUUUCUGCAGAAUUGCCCAGUAAUGUUUAAUUGUCAAACAACUCUUUACUGCAAAAACAUUAAAUUAAGCGCAGUUUCUUAUUCUGACACUGAAACUUGGCCAAGUGUUUAAUGCUCAUAGCCAUAGGAGUUUUUUUUUGUCACAGGAGGCAUUUAAAAACAUGACAAAUAAUAAACCAAAGAAUGUGGCAGAAAAAAAAACCCCAAGAAAACAAAAUGAAUGAAGCAAACACAUAAUUUAGGAACUGUCAGACUGUUCUUUGAAGUUUUGGUUAAAACUUUAGUGUCCACAUUAAUAAAUUUUAGUUCAAAAUUUGCUUGUCAUUUGUUUCUAGCAAAGCAUGAAGUGUUCAUGAUCCUCCUGGCUCAUUUAUAUUAUAAACUUGGCACACAUCCUUUUGUAAGAGUAAGCUUUCCUCAAAAAUCUAUUUUCCGUUGCUUGCUUUAAAUAUAAUGUUGUAAGCCAGUAUCUUCAGACACAAAAACCUGCUCUUAAUGCAUGUUGAAACUAUUAGGAUAGAGUAAGAAACCAGAGAUCUUUUUUUCUCAGGACUGUUGAAACUCGAUUGAGGUGAUUAUUAUUGCUGUUAGACUCAUUUUGUCAUAGCCUUUGUGCCUCCUGACUCAACAAAUAUGAAAGACAUCUAAAAAUCUCUAGCACAUGCCACUUCACAACUUCCAAAUCUCCUGAACUGGGAGAUUUUCUGUAGAGACCAAAGUAGUAGAUGGACAUCACUGACAGCAACAAAUCUAACUGACAUCAGUCACUUUAUGCAAACUCAGUUACUUUAUAUAACUGUGCUAAAAAAUUCACAACUAAUUGGCUGCAACAUUCUCUAUCCUUUGGCCACAAUGACGUGAUUUCUUUUUAAAUAUGGCAUGCACGUUUUGCUAUGCGACAGCAGAAAAUUGUACUCUGUCAUUGUGAUUAUCUGUUGUCUGGCUUCUUUCUCUCUUCUUUCUUCUUUUAUCCACAGUCUAUUGUCUACUUUCAAAAGCCAAAGAUAAAACCACAAUGACUGUGUUAGACAUGUCUUGCUGCAAAGAAGGCCAGUGGUACCCUGAGCUGCAUUAGGAGUGUUGCCAGUGUGGAGAGGGAGGUGAUUCUACCACUGUACCCACCACUGGUGGGUCCCUUCUUGGAGUGCUGGAUCCAGUUCUGGGGUCCCCAGUACAGAAAAGACAUUGACACACCUGAGUCUAGUGAAGGGCUACAAAGAUAAUUGAGGAAUGAAAGCAUCUCUCCUGUGAGGAAAGGCUAAGAGAGUUGGGACAGUUCAUCCUAGAGAAAACCAUGUUCAAUGGGUCCUUAAUAUAUACUCAAGGAUAUAUGUAUUAAUAUUACAAUAUUAAUUACAAUUACAAUAUUAUUGUAUUAGUAUUAAUAUACUCAAUAUAUAAAUGCCUGAAGGAGGAUGUAAAGAGGAUGGAGCCAGGCUCUUUUUGGUGGUGACUAAGACAAGAAUUAAUGGGCAGAAAAUGAAAUACUGGAGAUGACAUCUGAACAUCAGGAAACAUUUUUCUGCUCUGAAGAUGACUGAGCUCUGGCAUGUAUUGGCCAGAGAGAUUAUAAAGUCUCCAUCCAUGAAGACAUUCAAAAGCUUUUGGACAUGUUGUAACUGACUGGGUUUGGACCUGAUGACCUCCAGAGGCCCUUUCCAACCUCAGCUGUUCUGUGUUAAGGAACAGUGAAGGAACAGAAACUGCAAUUUGUGUCUUCAGUGAGAUGUGCAAGCAUAUAUCAGAGAGACAGAGAGAGAGAAUCAACAUGAAGAAGACAGUG